rnacentral:rRNA from 1 species
UACGUAGGUGGCAAGCGGUGUCCGGAUUUACUGGGCGUAAAGGGAGCGUAGGCGGACUUUUAAGUGAGAUGUGAAAUACCCGGGCUCAACUUGGGUGCUGCAUUUCAAACUGGAAGUCUAGAGUGCAGGAGAGGAGAAGGGAAUUCCUAGUGUAGCGGUGAAAUGCGUAGAGAUUAGGAAGAACACCAGUGGCGAAGGCGCUUCUCUGGACUGUAACUGACGCUGAGGCGCGAAAGCGUGGGGAGUAAACAUG